rnacentral:rRNA from 1 species
UACGUAGGGGGCAAGCGUUUGUCCGGAUUUAUUGGGCGUAAAGAGCGUGUAGGCGGCCUUACAGGUCAGCUGUGAAAACUCGAGGCUCAACCUCGAGACGUCGGUUGAAACCGUAUGGCUAGAGUCCGGAAGAGGAGAGUGGAAUUCCCGGUGAUAGCGGGUAGAAAUGCGCAGAUAUCAGGAAGAACACCCGUGGCGAAGGCGGUUCUCUGGGACGGUACUGACGCUGGAGACGCGAAAGCGUGGGGAGCGAACAGG